rnacentral:rRNA from 1 species
AUGAGGGUGGCGGUGGUGGGUGGCGGGGUGAGCGGGCUGGCGGCGGCGCACGAGCUGCUGCUUGCCGCCAACGACGGAGGCGGCGUGCGCGUGACCCUGUACGAGCAGGAGGAGAGCUUGGGAGGGCAUGCCAGGACGGUGGCCGUCGACGACGGCGCCGGACGCGUCCAGCUCGACCUCGGCUUCAUGAGCUUCAACCAGGUAACAUAUCCCCAGAUGAUGGAACAGUUAGAAGGGCUCGGGGUGGAGAUGGAGAGAUCAGACAUGUCUUUCUCAGUGAGCACACAAUUGAAAGACAGCGGCAGAGGAUGUGAGUGGGGCAAUGGCAACGGUAUCUUGGGCCUCUUGGCACAGAAGACCAACAUACUGAAACCCAGUUUUUGGCGCAUGGUCCAUGAGAUAAUCAAGUUCAAGAAUGAUGCUCUGAUGUACCUGGAGGACCAUGAACACAACCCUGAUCUGGACCAUAAUGAGACACUGGGGCAGUUCAUUCAGUCACACGGAUAUUCCAUAUCGUUUCAAGAGGCUUAUCUUAUUCCAGUUUGCACAGGCACAUGGUCAUGUUCACCACAAGAUGUUUUGAGCCUGUCUGCUUUCUUUGUGCUGUCAUUUUGCCGAAACAACGACCUUCUUCAGUUGUUUCGUCACACCCACUUGCCCACUGUCAAGCCUCGUUCACAGUCCUAUGUAAACAAGGUAAAAAGAGAAUUGGAGAGCAUGGGCUGUCGAAUUAAAACCAGCUGCCGGGUGAAAUCUGUUUCAAGUCUUGAUGGAGCAGCUGGCUACAGAGUCUUGGAGAAUGAUGGUUCAGAGGAAACAUUCGACAGUGUCAUCCUUGGGGUCCAUGCACCUAAUGCUCUGAAAGUAUUAGGAGCUGAAGCCACACACCAGGAACUGAGAAUUCUAGGUGCUUGUCAGUACGUCCAAAGGGAUAUAUACCUCCACUGCGAUCAAAAUCUGAUGCCCCGAAAUCCAUCGGCAUGGAGUGCCUGGAAUUUCCUGGGGACAACUAGCAGGGGCUUUUCUGUAACUUACUGGCUAAACCAAAUUCAGAAAAUCGAAUCUGUCAGGCCUUUCCUGGUAACACUCAAUCCUCCUGGUGUUCCGGAUCAUGUACUGCUUAAAUGGAAUAUAAGCCUCCCUGUUCCGUCUGCGGCCGCGGCGAAGGCUUAUCUUCAGCUUGAUCAGAUCCAGGGAAAGAGAGAAAUAUGGUUCUGUGGGGCAUAUCAAGGUCAUGGAUUCCAUGAAGACGGAUUGAUGGCUGGGAAAGCAGCAGCUCAAGGUUUGCUUGGAAAGAAAUGCGAGCUUCUGUUGUACCCAAAGCAGAUCAUUCCAUCAUGGACCGUGGCUGGGGCACGCCUUGCAUUUGCAAGAUUUUUCAUGCAAUACAUAUCCAUCGGUAACUUGAUAUUGGUUGAAGCGGGAGGUAGUGUGUUCAGCUUUGGUAAAGCUUGCAACAAAUGCCAUGUAAAAUCUGUUGUGCGAGUUCAUGACCCCUUGUUCUAUUGGAAGGCUACAACAGAAGGAGAGAUCGGCUUGGGAGAAGCCUAUAUUAACGGCUAUUUCUCUUGUCUUGACAAGAGAGAAGGCCUUCUGAAUUUUAUCCUGAUUCUCAUUGCUAACAGAGAUGAGCGUAGGAGCCGCGGCAUUGCCAGAAAAAGGCGUUGGGGGUCACCCUUCUAUGUAAUGGCUCUGUUGUCAUAUGCUAAAUACGUUUUGCGCCACGCCUCGAGGAAGAACACCGCAACACAAACUCGUCGAAACAUCUCUCAGCAUUAUGAUCUUAGUAAUGAUUUCUUCUCGCUUUUUCUGGAUAAAUCGAUGACUUACUCAUGCGCAGUUUUCAAGAUGGAGAACGAAAGCUUAGAAGCAGCCCAGCAACGUAAACUGAGCCUUCUAAUCGACAAGGCUAAAGUUGAGAGGGAGCAUCAUGUUCUUGAUAUCGGUAGCGGCUGGGGAAGUUUAGCAAUACAAGUGGUUAAGCAAACUGGCUGCAAAUACACUGGAGUUACUUUGUCGGAGGAGCAGCUUAAAUACGCCGAGAGUAAAGUAAGAGAAGCUGGCCUAGAGGACCACAUAACUUUUCUGUUGUGUGACUAUCGCCUAAUACCACCUUACAAGUAUGACGCUAUCAUAAGCUGUGGAAUGAUCGAACAUGUUGGCCAUGAAUACAUGGACGAAUUUUUUGCCUGCUGCGAGUCUUACUUGGCUGAAGAUGGCAUAUUGGUCCUCCAGUUCAUCUCAAUUGCAGAGGAACGGUACGAGCAAUACAGAAGAAGGCCACACUUCGUCAAAGAAUACAUAUUCCCUGGCGGUUGCAUUCCUUCUUUGGCCCGUGUAAUGUCUGCCAUGACCACGUCAUCAAGGUUCAGCAUAGAGCAUGUCGAGAAUAUUGGGCCCAACUACUACACAACUCUGAUGCACUGGAGGGACAACUUCAUGGCCAACAAAGAUCAAGUUUUGGAACUGGGCUUUGAUGAGCAGUUCAUCCGUAUAUGGGAGUUUUACCUCAUGUACUCUGCGGCUGGUUUCAAGUCACGAGCAGUUGGAGAUUACCAGGUUGUUUUCUCUCGUCCAGGCAACCGUCGGCUAGGCCUGCCUUGA